GUUUUGCUCAUUUUCUUCGAGGAUUGACUAGCUUCUUCCAAACCACAUUGUGCCCAAACAAUGAGUUUGAUUAGAUGCACAACCUUUGACAUCAAUAACAAAGAUAUGACCUGUGACCCUUUUGUGUGCUGCGCUUAGGGACGAUGUCAUCACCAUGGGCCUCAGAGAUGGAAAAAUGACAGGGCUAUGCAGGGGGUCGAGAGUUCCUGGCUGUAACGUGACCCUGCAGAUGCUUCAGUCAUGCCUGCUAUGAGAGGCCUCUGUUUGGGCCACAGCCCCCUCCUCCGGGGUCUGGAUGGCCUGUCCACCACUGCUGGGGGUUUUGUUGGGAGGAUGUGGGAUGGCCGAACAACACAGAGCCGGAUACACAGUGGCCAUGAACCAGCCCCAUCUAUCCCACGCUCCACCUGCUAGACAUACAUCACCAAGACCAUCUGCAGCAAUUCUGCAACCUGCUUCCUCAACUGGACACAAUAACACACUGGAGUUGUUAGUUUGUUUCCUCAGCCCAUGUGAGCUCAAUAUUAAGUUCCAACCAAGGUCAGUUGAAAAGAAUCAAAGCAGGGAGCAGAGAUAGAAAGAAUGAGAAAGUAAAGCCAAGAAGAGCAUUUGAAUAAAAGGAUUCCAAUACAUUGUGCAAUGCUUUAGUAGUUUCAGGUCACGUAUUAUAAUUACUUGCUUUGAGUGCAAACUUGGUCUGUGCUGCCACUUUGUGGUCAUAGUUGUAAUAAUUUGUUAGAAAUGAUCUGCUCUGACUCCAAUGUGAAAUGUUUUCAAAUUUACAUAUACUUUCUAUACCCUUUUGAAACAUUUCCAUAUACAGGAAUC